GAGCAUGCCCCUACGCCACCCACGAGUGUCCUGCCUUAGUCUCUUCAGAAGCCGCAUUUGAGUUUGAGCUGUUAACUUAUUCUCUGUCUUUGUCUUCCUGGAUACCAGAGCAGUUCUGAAGACUCUCUGGGAACAGAAGAGAAACAAUGUGGAUGAGAUAGAGCUACGGACUCCUCUGGUUUUGUGGCAUGGAUUCGUUUCUCUUCUCCAUUACUUCACAGCAGAAGUGUACUUAAAAAUUCACCAUUAUCUGGAGAAAUUCCUUGUAUGGUAUUAUAUCUUCCCAGCAACUCACCUUAUAAAAUCAACUAUUUUCCAAGUGUGCCCCCCCCCCUCUGAGAACUGGUACACUUUCUCUAAAUUCUCUCUCUCUCUCACAAUUGGUAUUGUGUGAUGAAAAUAGAGUCUUCUCUGACAUAUUGUCUUCACUGAACAUCACUAACCUGGGGGCUUAAAAACAAUCUCCACUUUUAGACUGUCCCUAGAUCCGCUAAGUGAGAAUUACUUGACCUUUUGUCUUAGGAUCACACUGCACCGAGCUUUCACAAGGCGGAUCCAUGAGGACAUUCUUCAGAAAUGUCCUGCUUUGAAGACAGUCCUCUGAUUCAGAGUGUUUGCCCUGAUUCUUCUUGACAUUUUUCUUUCAAUGUUUGUAUUACUCUUCUCUCUCCUUUCCCAGCAAGGUCACUCCUUUUGGGAGACCAGUUACCCUGUGUGGUCAUGUUUCUUUUCUUUUUAAGUAGCUGUGUUUAUUUUAUAGCCUCUACUCCUGCACUGAGUGCAAAGCUACGCUCUUCCACAGCACUGUCUCCUGCCUGCCCCCCCUCUUAGGAUUCCCCUCUGGAGAGCAAGGCUCUGAGAGGUAGACGUUUUCCUGCAGCACACGAGUCAUUCUUUGCCAGGAUUGCUGUCUCCUUUCUGUCUUUUAGAAGUUGUGAUUUUAUUCAAGUUCCUAUAUGACCAUAGUCUUUGUGAUUUGAUACUUAUCCAAUACUACAAUUACCAGAACAUUCCAUAGACAUACACACACACACACACACACACAUACACACACACACACUCUCUCUCUCUCUCAUAUGAACCUGCACAUGUGCGUGCGCACACACAUAAACAAUAAUCUGAAAAAAGAGUGACCCAUGAAGCCUAUGUAAAGGAUGGCCUAGCUCUAUUGCUAAGAAGACAAGACGGAAGGAAGGUGGGUGGGAGGACACACUUUGAGAGACUGGGGUUGAGUCUUGGCUUUGGCAGUUACUGGGUAAGUGAUGUUCAAUGUCUAUAAAAGGACAACAAAACUCUUCUCAUAGGAUUGUCACAAAUAAAAUACAGGUCUAUAACACAUUUAUCCUGAGUCUGGCAUAGAUUAAGUUCCCUAUGAAUGAUAGCUAAUAUUAUUAGAGUUUUAGAAAUAAUGCCAUUGCCUAUGUUUUUUUCUUUUCAUAAAAUCACCCUCUUUUAUUACCCAUCAUAUCAAGAAAGGAAAAGAAGAAAAGAGGGAGAAUAGGGCUGCAUAGGCAUAAUUUUUCCAACCUUCUUUAAUAAGGGUUCAACCUCCUCUCUAGCCCACCACCGACCUGAGGUGAUGGAAAAGAAAGGUUAUUAGGAUAUGGGGGAAGUGGACCUGUUUAAAAUAGUUCUUUUGGGCGAUUCCAAGCUUUGUUGUUCUCAGUCAAGUCCAGUAGCAAACACCAAACACGAAUAAGCAGCUGCAGUCCAGUCCACUUGGCAGACAGCACACAUGAAUCAGCAAUGGCAGUUCAAUCCAGAAGAAACCACAAGGUCCACCAACUGGCCCAAGUCCGAGGAAGCCGCAAGAAGACACAGGAACCUCCUGAGAAGUUCUUUGGUUCACAUGGGGGACAGAAGGAACACAGUACCAUAGUCAAGGU
rnacentral:lncRNA from 1 species